AGUUUUGAAAUUGUCUGCAUGCGUUUGAAAUCAGUACUACUUCUUUGAAAGAGGACAUUACCCAAUUCAAUGAUGACAUAAAGAAAAAUACAUGCCAGUAAAAGUUUAACUAUGACUAGACAAAAAGUCUCAAGCUAAAGCUGCUGAAUUUAAAAAAAUUGCAAACACAAUGCUAUUCUACAAUGAUUUAAACAAACUACUUAUUCAAGGCAAAUAGAGAUUAUUCACAUGAUAGUUUUGGUAAUCUUAUACAAUGCAAAAAUUAAGAGUUUAU
rnacentral:lncRNA from 1 species